CCUACGGGAGGCAGCAGUGAGGAAUAUUGGUCAAUGGACGCAAGUCUGAACCAGCCAUGCCGCGUGCAGGAAGACGGCUCUAUGAGUUGUAAACUGCUUUUGUACGAGGGUAAACGCAGAUACGCGUAUCUGUCUGAAAGUAUCGUACGAAUAAGGAUCGGCUAACUCCGUGCCAGCAGCCGCGGUAAUACGGAGGAUUCAAGCGUUAUCCGGAUUUAUUGGGUUUAAAGGGUGCGUAGGCGGUCGGAUAAGUUAGAGGGGAAAUCCCGAGGCUCAACUUCGGACUUGCCUCUGAUACUGUUCGGCUAGAGAGUAGUAGCGGUAGGCGGAAUGUAUGGUGUAGCGGUGAAAUGCUUAGAGAUCAUACAGAACACCGAUUGCGAAGGCAGCUUACCAAGCUACUUCUGACGUUGAGGCACGAAAGCGUGGGGAGCAAACAGGAUUAGAUACCCUUGUAGUC
rnacentral:rRNA from 1 species